UUCAAUACUCUCAACGUAACGAAGAAUGGCCUGCACUUCUUUCUUAGUAAGACGGUGUGAUCCAUUAGGAAUUGAUUGUUCAUAAGUUMAMCAAUUAUUAGGUUACCAAUAGUAUGGUAUUGAAGUUCAUGAUUAUAAAUAAUAAAAUUAUUUUYGAUUUUAUAUAUUAUCCUCUGAGCAUAUCAUUAACUGGUGUAACUGCCUGAUGGAUUUUAAAGAUCAUAAUAUUGAUAUUUUCGAAUAUCACCAAACUAGCAAUAGUUGGAAUUAAUUAUGUAUCCGAUCAACAACGGUUUCAUUUGGGAUACCUUUGGGACCCGUCUUGAAACACGGACCAAGGAGUCUAUCUAAUAUGCAAGUAAAUGGGCGUUUAUGAAAACCUAUUUGCGUAAAUAACUUGACUGUUGUAUAACAAUGGGAUUACAAGUUAAAUUUUUUAUUAAAUUUAAUUUUUCCAUCCCGGGGUAUUUUCAUAAUAUAUAAUGGGCAACUAUUAUAUAGAAAAUAUACCAUGAGCAUAUUGGAUAUGACCCGAAAGAUGGUGAACUAUGCCUGAUCAGGUUGAAGUCAGGGGAAACCCUGAUGGAGGACCGAAGCAAUUCUGACGUGCAAAUCG
rnacentral:rRNA from 1 species